rnacentral:tRNA from 1 species
GGGGAUAUGGCGAAAUUGGUAGACGCUAUGGACUUAAAAUCCAUCGAUUUUGAAAAUCGUGAGGGUUCAAGUCCCUCUAUCCCCA